UUAAAUUGAGAGUUUGAUCCUGGCUCAGGAUGAACGCUGGCGGCGUGCUUAACACAUGCAAGUCGAGCGAUGAAGUUUCCUUCGGGAAACGGAUUAGCGGCGGACGGGUGAGUAACACGUGGGUAACCUGCCUCAUAGAGUGGAAUAGCCUUCCGAAAGGGAGAUUAAUACCGCAUAAUGUUGAAAGAUGGCAUCAUCAUUCAACCAAAGGAGCAAUCCGCUAUGAGAUGGACCCGCGGCGCAUUAGCUAGUUGGUGGGGUAACGGCCUACCAAGGCGACGAUGCGUAGCCGACCUGAGAGGGUGAUCGGCCACAUUGGGACUGAGACACGGCCCAGACUCCUACGGGAGGCAGCAGUGGGGAAUAUUGCACAAUGGGGGA
rnacentral:rRNA from 1 species